rnacentral:misc_RNA from 1 species
AAAGUCGUAACAAGGUUUCCGUAGGUGAACCUGCGGAAGGAUCAUUACAGUGUUUUGCUGCGGUGCACCCCACCCCCGAAAGGGGGUGGUCAGUGUGCCGCCGAAACCCCCAUCCUUGACUACUGUACCGUCUGUUGCUUCGGCGGGCCCGCCCCCAGGGGCCGCUGGGGGAUUCUCCCCUGGCCCGCGCCCGCCGGAGAAAAUCUAGAACUCUUGUGAAUAUUUGGCUGUCUGAGUGGACUUAUGAAUCGUUAAAACUUUCAACAAUGGAUCUCUUGGUUCCG